rnacentral:rRNA from 1 species
UACGAAGGGGGCUAGCGUUGUUCGGAAUCACUGGGCGUAAAGCGCACGCAGGCGGAUCGUUAAGUCAGGGGUGAAAUGCCGAGGCUCAACCUCGGAACUGCCUUUGAUACUGGCGAUCUUAGAGUCCGGGAGAGGUGAGUGGAACUCCGAGUGUAGAGGUGAAAUUCGUAGAUAUUCGCAAGAACACCAGUGGCGAAGGCGGCUCACUGGCCCGGUACUGACGCUGAGGUGCGAAAGCGUGGGGAGCAAACAGG